ensembl:lncRNA
AGACGGAGACCAGCCAGAUUCAGAAGACUGUGAGCUGCCUAAAGCCGCAACCAAACAGCUUUCCAAACAAUGAUCUGGACCUGAAACAUCCAGAGCCUGAAAGGUGUCACAAUCAUCGUCUGGUGUGCACAACAAUAUCAUCUUUGGACAAGUGCAUUCAGUGUGUGGGACUGGUUUCCUCCCUCAAGUGGCUUGGCUAUAAGUGCAAAGAUGAAAUUGCAUUAAGUGAUGCUGAAACAAAGGACAGUGAGAGUGAAUCAGAUGAUGAUGACACAUCACUCACAAUGUCGGCGUGUGGCACCAGUGAGCCUGUACAUGCAGUAGCUGAUUCCACAAACACAGCGCAGCCCCAAGACACUGUAGAUUGUGCAGAUGAAGGACUACUCACAAUGCCUGCAGCAAGUGAGACUGCUGCUCCCUCUGAAGGUAAGGGGUGCAGUUGGUUCUCGAAGCUUAUUAUUGUUUCAUCACUUUGCAACAUAUGGCAAACUGCAGAGUGGUGGCAAAAAGUCACUUGGAUGAGUGACAAAAUGUUUCUCCCACUGAAAACGCUACGUCCAGAUUAACAGAAUCAACGUUUUGGGAUUUACUUACCUGGAUGAUUGAGCAUGCAUCAAGAGACUUUUAUUCAACUUUUUAUUCAGUCUUUUAUUCACAGCGGAACACUAAAUGUUGUCUCAUUUUAGAAAUUUGAUAAAUUUUCAAACAGAAUUUUAGCUCGUUUUGAUAUUGAUGGUAGCAACACAUUUCAGAAGUUAGUACAGGGUAGCAUCCAUUCUUUUAACAAGCAAAUGUUUUUUGUUUUUUUUUGUUUGGUUUUUUGUUUGUUUUAACUACUACUACUUUAUAUAUCUUCCAGAGAAAAAUGCUGCUCAAUCCCACAAUUCCCGAAGAGCUCCCAAAAACAUGUGGUCCAAGGCUGAGGUUGCUGCAGUGAUGAGGCAUUUGAAAGACCACAUAAACGAAGGGAAACUAGCCACCAAAAAUGAAUGCAGUCAUUGCAAAUUGGUAGAAGAUCCGGUGUUGGCAGGAAGAACAGUUCAAAACAUAAGAGAUUUUGUAAGAAACAGAGGAUUAACUGCAAAAAGGCAGAAAAAAAUGAACUAAAAUAACUGUUUAGAGAGCUGUGGUUUUACAUCUUGGUCAGAUUGCCAAUUGUUGUUAACACUGAUGUUCUGUUUAAAGAAAAAAAAGUUCUUGUUAAAUACAGAAGUAGUUUGUAUUUCAUAAUUUUUACAUUUAAUUUAUUUAGGGUUUUUUUUGACGGGUUAUAUUUAAAAUAAAAAAUUAUAAAUGCAUAUUUUCUCCCCUUAAUAUUUACCUUUAAACUAUUAAAAUUCAUUUUAAAUGUUUUUAAUUUUUCUGUUUUCUAUAUUUUUAUAUUUCUGUGGGAAGCGUGGGCAUUUUUGUCCAUAGAUUUCUUUU